GUAACGGCGAGUGAAGCGGCAAUAGCUCAAAUUUGAAAUCUGGCAGUCUUUGAUUGUCCGAGUUGUAAUUUGUAGAGGAUGCUUUUAUGGAAUGAGUUUUGUGGAGUUCCCUGGAACGGGACGCCAUAGAGGGUGAGAGCCCCGUAUCACAUGACUUAUUUCAAAUAUAUAGCUCCUUCAACGAGUCGAGUAGUUUGGGAAUGCUGCUCUAAAUGGGAGGUAAAUUUCUUCUAAAGCUAAAUAUUGGCCAGAGACCGAUAGCGCACAAGUAGAGUGAUCGAAAGAUGAAAAGCACUUUGAAAAGAGGGUUAAAAAGUACGUGAAAUUGUUGAAAGGGAAGCGCUUAUGACCAGACUUGAAUUUCUUGUAUCAUCUGUUGUUCUCAGCAGUGCACUAUGAGUUUUUCAGGCCAGCAUCGGUUUUUUUAUUGAGAUAAAGUAUUAGGGAAUGUGGCUCUUUCGGGAGUGUUAUAGCCCUUUUAAUAAUAUCAAUAGAGGGACCGAGGACUGCGAAUUUAUUCAAGGAUGCUGGCAUAAUGGUCAUCAGCGACCCGUCUUGAAACACGGACCAAGGAGUCAAGCAGUAGGGCGAGUGUUUGGGUGUUAAACCCGCACGCGUAAUGAAAGUAAACGUAGGUGAGAGCUUCGGCGCAUCAUCGACCGAUCCUGAUGUUUUCGGACGGAUUUGAGUAAGAGCCUUACCGCUUGGACCCGAAAGAUGGUGAACUAUGCCUGAAUAGGGUGAAGCCAGAGGAAACUCUGGUGGAGGCUCGCAGCGGUUCUGACGUGCAAAUCGAUCGUCAAAUUUGGGCA
rnacentral:rRNA from 1 species